UACGUAGGGGGGCUAGCGUUGUCCGGAUUUAUUGGGCGUAAAGAGCGUGUAGGCGGCCAGGUAGGUCUGCUGUGAAAACUCGAGGCUCAACCUCGAGACGUCGGCGGAAACCAUCUGGCUAGAGUCCGGAAGAGGAGAGUGGAAUUCCUGGUGUAGCGGUGAAAUGCGCAGAUAUCAGGAAGAACACCCGUGGCGAAGGCGGCUCUCUGGGACGGUACUGACGCUGAGGUGCGAAAGCGUGGGGAGCAAACAGG
rnacentral:rRNA from 1 species